rnacentral:lncRNA from 1 species
GCCUCACCACGCUCUCCAACCUCCAGUUCCUCACCAUCUCCCACACCAACGUCUCCGGCCCGAUCCCGGACUCGCUCGCCCGCCUCCACAGCCUCGACUCCGUGGACCUCUCCAACAACAGGCUCACGGGCUCCAUCCCAAACUCCUUCGCCGACCUCCCGAACCUCCGCUCCCUCGACCUCCGCCGGAACCUCCUCACCGGCCCCAUCCCUGCCAGCCUCGUCCAGGGCCAGUUCAGGUCACUCAUCCUCUCCUACAACCAGCUGACCGGCCCGAUCCCGCGUGACGACGCGCAGGACGAGAUCAACACCGUGGACCUGUCCCACAACCGGCUCACGGGCGACGCGUCAUUCCUGUUCGCCGAGGGCCGGCCCAUCGGGAAGGUGGAUCUCUCGUGGAACGACCUCGAGUUUGAUCUCAGCAAGCUUGUUUUCCCCAAGG